rnacentral:rRNA from 1 species
GCGAGAAUAUUUCGCAAUGGGCGAAAGCCUGACGAAGCGACACCGCGUGUUUGAAUAAGCCCUUCGGGGUGUAAAGAACUUUUCUCCAUGAACAAGCUUCGGCUGAGCGUAGUGGAGGAAUAAGAGGAGGCUAAUCACGUGCCAGAAGCCUCGGUAAUACGUGAUCCUCAAGUGUUAUCCGGAUUUAUUGGGCGUAAAGCGUCCGUAGGCGGUUGAAUAAGUCUUUGGUUAAAGCUCCAUGGCUCAACUAUGGAAAUGCCAGAGAUACUGUUUAACUAGAGGGUGUUAGGGGCUGAUGGAACGGUCGGUGUAGGG